rnacentral:rRNA from 1 species
CCUACGGGAGGCAGCAGUGAGGAAUAUUGGUCAAUGGGCGCAAGCCUGAACCAGCCAAGUCGCGUGAGGGAAGACGGUUCUAUGGAUUGUAAACUUCUUUUAUCGGGGAGCAAAGGAAUCCACGCGUGGCUCUUUGCGUGUACCCUAUGAACAAGCAUCGGCUAACUCCGUGCCAGCAGCCGCGGUAAUACGGAGGAUGCGAGCGUUAUCCGGAUUUAUUGGGUUUAAAGGGUGCGUAGGUUGUAUGUUAAGUCAGCGGUGAAAGUGCGUGGCUCAACCUUUAAAUUGCCGUUGAAACUGGAAGACUUGAGUGUGUGAGAGGUAGGCGGAAUGCGUGGUGUAGCGGUGAAAUGCAUAGAUAUCACGCAGAACUCCGAUUGCGAAGGCAGCUUACUGGGCCAUAACUGACGCUGAAGCACGAAAGCGUGGGGAUCGAACAGGAUUAGAUACCCUUGUAGUC